AGAGUUUGAUCAUGGCUCAGAAUCAACGCUGGCGGCGCGCUUAACACAUGCAAGUCGAACGAGAAAGUGGAGCAAUCCAUGAGUACAGUGGCGUACGGGUGAGUAACACGUGGGUAAUCUGCCUUUUAGUGAGGAAUAACGAUGGGAAACCGUCGCUAAUACCGCAUAAGCCCGAGAGGGGAAAGUCGCAAGACGCUGAAAGAGGAGCCCGCGGCCGAUUAGCUAGUUGGUAGGGUAAGAGCCUACCAAGGCAGAGAUCGGUAGCCGGCCUGAGAGGGCACACGGCCACACUGGCACUGAAACACGGGCCAGACUCCUACGGGAGGCAGCAGUGGGGAAUCUUGCACAAUGGGGGCAACCCUGAUGCAGCGACGCCGCGUGAGCGAUGAAGCCCUUCGGGGUGUAAAGCUCUUUCGGCAGGGAAGAUUAUGACGGUACCUGCAGAAGCAGCUGCGGCUAACUACGUGCCAGCAGCCGCGGUAAUACGUAGGCAGCGAGCGUUGUUCGGAGUUACUGGGCGUAAAGGGUGUGUAGGCGGUUCUUUAAGUUUGGUGUGAAAUCUCCCGGCUCAACCGGGAGGGUGCGCCGAAUACUGAGGGACUAGAGUGUGGGAGAGGAAAGUGGAAUUCCUGGUGUAGCGGUGAAAUGCGUAGAUAUCAGGAGGAACACCGGUGGUGUAGACGGCUUUCUGGACCAUAACUGACGCUGAGACACGAAAGCGUGGGUAGCAAACAGGAUUAGAUACCCUAGUAGUCC
rnacentral:rRNA from 1 species